rnacentral:rRNA from 1 species
GCCUAACACGAUGCAAGUCGAGCGAUGAUACCCUCGGGGUUGAUUAGCGGCGGACGGGUGAGUAACACGUGGGCAACCUGCCUCAUAGAGGGGGGAUAGCCUCCCGAAAGGGAGAUUAAUACCGCAUAAUGAUUUUGGCUGCAUGGCUGAAAUAUCAAAGGAGUAAUCCGCUAUGAGAUGGACCCGCGGCGCAUUAGCUAGUUGGUGAGGUAACGGCUCACCAAGGCGACGAUGCGUAGCCGACCUGAGAGGGUGAUCGGCCACAUUGGAACUGAGACACGGUCCAGACUCCUACGGGAGGCAGCAGUGGGGAAUAUUGCGCAAUGGGGGAAACCCUGACGCAGCCAACGCCGCGUGAAUGAUGAAGGCCUUAGGGUUGUAAAGUUCUGUCUUCUGGGACGAUAAUGACGGUACCAGAGGAGGAAGCCACGGCUAACUACGUGCCAGCAGCUGC